UAUUAAAAAUUUCAUCCAUUUCUACUAUUAAAAAUUGAUGUGACUUAACCAUAAAGUUACACGGGGUGUCCCUCCUGUGGCUCAUUCUGAUGUACAUAGACCAAUUUUUAAUAGUAGAGAUGAAUGAAUUUUUUAACA
rfam:Gossypium raimondii Chr08_contig_712, whole genome shotgun sequence.